rnacentral:tRNA from 2 species
GCGCGCGUGGCGGAAUUGGCAGACGCGCCAGACUUAGGAUCUGGUUCCGCAAGGAGUGGAGGUUCGAGUCCUCUCGCGCGCACCA